AUACGUAGGUGGCAAGCGUUGUCCGGAAUUAUUGGGCGUAAAGCGCGCGCAGGUGGUUCCUUAAGUCUGAUGUGAAAGCCCCCGGCUCAACCGGGGAGGGUCAUUGGAAACUGGGGAACCUGAGUGCAGAAGAGGAUAGUGGAAUUCCAAGUGUAGCGGUGAAAUGCGUAGAGAUUUGGAGGAACACCAGUGGCGAAGGCGACUGUCUGGUCUGUAACUGACACUGAGGCGCGAAAGCGUGGGGAGCAAACAGGAUUAGAUACCCUGGUAGUCCACGCCGUAAACGAUGAGUGCUAAGUGUUGGGGGGUUUCCGCCCCUCAGUGCUGCAGCUAACGCAUUAAGCACUCCGCCUGGGGAGUACGGUCGCAAGACUGAAACUCAAAGGAAUUGACGGGG
rnacentral:rRNA from 1 species